CCUACGGGGGGGCAGCAGUGGGGAAUAUUGGACAAUGGGCGCAAGCCUGAUCCAGCCAUGCCGCGUGUGUGAAGAAGGCCUUUUGGUUGUAAAGCACUUUAAGCGGGGAGGAGGGUGUCGUGGUUAAUACCCAUGAACAUCGGACGUUACCCGCAGAAUAAGCACCGGCUAACUCUGUGCCAGCAGCCGCGGUAAUACAGAGGGUGCGAGCGUUAAUCGGAAUUACUGGGCGUAAAGCGCGCGUAGGCGGUUAUGUAAGUUGGAUGUGAAAUCCCCGGGCUUAACCUGGGCACUGCAUUCAAAACUGCAUAGCUAGAGUAUGGGAGAGGAAGGUAGAAUUCCAGGUGUAGCGGUGAAAUGCGUAGAGAUCUGGAGGAAUACCGAUGGCGAAGGCAGCCUUCUGGCCUAAUACUGACGCUGAGGUGCGAAAGCAUGGGGAGCAAACAGGAUUAGAUACCCCGGUAGUC
rnacentral:rRNA from 1 species